rnacentral:misc_RNA from 1 species
GAGAAACUGAAAUUGUGGAAGACAUGGACAGGAUAAUUUUGUGGGGUCAAAACCUGUCCCCUGAGAUGGUUGUUGAGCCACUUGUAAAUGUCAUCCAUCUUCAUCCUUCAAUGCCGAGAGCGGGUGUUUCAGAGAAGUUAUCCUUAUCUAAUUUUGCAUUUCCUUCUUCUUUUUUCCUUUUUAAUUUAUUAAUUAAUGGAAAUUUUCUGAUAUUUUUAGUAAUUCUUCACAAGAAAUAAGAAACUACAGUUUAACCAAGUAUUCACAUUUUGGGCAUGAUUCUUCAUCUUCAAAACCUGUUCUGUUUGCAGUUACAGAUCUUCAAACGUGAUGUUUUCUCUUCUUUGAUAAAUUAGGAUUUUUAAUGUACAAUAAUAUGUGUUCGUUUUAAUGUUUACUACCCAAAUCAAUUAUAAUGUGGAGGAGAUUCUGGUCAAGUGGAAUUUUGAAGCACAGCUUGUCAGCGGCGGCUGUGGGGAGGAGCGCUCCUCCGCCGUCGCUGUUGUUGGGAAUGGGAUGGGCUCCAAUUCAACAAAGCGGAAGGGCGAGGGAACUAGUGUUAUUGAGCAAGAGAGUGUUAAUGUCAACAACAUCAUCGUCGUCGCAGUUUUUCACUACUGAUGCUGGUGAUCACAGCAAUAGCAGCAAGGAAGGAGGUGAUGGUGGUGGUGGUGGUAGUACUACUGAGAAUAUUACUUGCGCGGAGGUGAAAAGAUUGAUGAGGCUGGUGAAUGUGGAGGCAUUGAAGAUGAAGUUAGGGAUGGAGGGGAAGGAGGUUAUUUCUUAUUCUGAGCUCUUGCAGGUUUGCAAGAGCAUGGGUAUUGCCAGAUCUCAAGAUGAGGCCAUUGAAUUUGCUCGUGCCUUUGAUGAUGCCGGCGUUGUCCUUCUCUUCCGGGACAAGGUCUAUCUCCAUCCUGACAAGGUACCCUUAUCUUCUCUCUUUCUUUUCAGCCCAGGUAUGUUUAUUUUGCCUCCACUUCAGAGUGGAAGGUGUGGUCACAGUUUUGGAACACAUCCCAUUUUUGUUAUUCCAUUCCCUUCCACUUUCUGUUUCUUUUCCAUUUUCACUUGAUUUUAUUGGGUGUCUAUGGAUACUCACGGGCCCUUGUCUCUACUGCUUUAUUAAGGUUUGUCACGGGACUUUCAAUAGCUUCCCUUUUAUGUUAUGCUCAGCCUUGCAUUAACCAAGAGUAAAGUUAAACCAAGUUUAAUAAUUAGAAUAAUUAUGAUAUCAAUAAAGUAUUUUUCUUUCCUUUUUUAUAGAUAGAUCUACCCAUGAAUUUACAUUGUUGCUUAAUGGGUAGUCUUUGCAAUUUGAAAUCUGUACCUCAUAAUAUUAUCUGUACUGUAUUUGGCAAGGAAUUAGGUAUUUCCGUAAUCUGAAAAAGGUUAAAACUUGAGCAUCAUCUGUUAUAUACAUGCUUUCUUCAUUAAUUUCCAAUUCAUGUUGCCUGAUCUUCUCAUAAAUGCUUCUGUCAAGAUCUCUUUUUGUCUGAAAUUUUCAAAACUAUUUCCCUGUUGUAUUGUUGGGAGGAAUAUGCUGUUCUUUUAGUAAUAUUUAUUCACCCACCUGCUUCCCAAAUCCUAACUGUGGACUAAACAUAGGAACAACCUUUGGUUUGAGAAUAACCCACACUGGCUAUAUUUUUCAUGGUUUUGAAUAGACCCACUACAUGGCUCACAGAUCUGACAUUUGAAAAGAAGGUAUAUUCUUUCUUUGUUUAGUGGAAUGAGAAACGGGGGACAUAGCUUUAACGAAUCCUGCUUCAUUCUUUUUUUUAAUUAAUUUCGCCUUUUCUUUUGUUCUAGAAUUGCCAGAUAUCAUAAGACUGUUUAGUCCCUCGCUAAUUUUGGAGAAGUUGAUAUUGUUGGCUUAAGAAACCUGGUUUAUUUCUUUCUCUUUCUAUUGUCUAGUUACUGAAUAAGAUUUCUUGUGAGGAAAAACUAUUAAAUUUAUUAUCAGCUUUGUGUUGUUGAAUUUGAGGUUACUUGUGAUUUAAGCAGGAAGCAAUGACUGUGCUUGCAUUUAGUUUGUUGAAGCUCUCAACAAAGCUGCUUUAAACGGAUGAAUUUCACAUAUAGAACAAGUGUGGCUAACCUUGUCAUACAUCAAUAAUUUUUAUUUCUUUUUAAAUCUCAUUAUAUUACUGGAUUCUUGUCAUGUUACCAUGCCCAACCAUGUACUUUAUUAUGUUUUUGCAGUUUUCCAUAUUUUAGAUGCAGAGACCCUCUCAAAUUUAUGUAAAACAUAUUGAUGCAGUCAAGGAAAUCAAGGAAGAUUCAAUUAAGCAAUUAUGUUGAUUUAAUUUUUCAU